GUCAACUACCCCUCCCUCAAUGGGAGGGGCUUGUAGGUAACUACAAGCCGAGUUGAUCAGGGUCAGUUACGGAGCAGUGUCGAUGCAAAGAAAUAACAACGUGAGCGAUAGGUUAUACAAGACCCAAUCCUGGACACUUCCUCAGUCCUGGACCCUGGA
rnacentral:sRNA from 1 species